rnacentral:lncRNA from 1 species
GCUCUCAUCACCUAUAUACUCUUCUCUCUGCCCGUCUCUGCUUCCCCCCCCUUCCCCCCCCCCUUUUCUCCCGGCCGACGGAGCUGAAGGGGCGGGGGUUCCUUCCUUGGAGUGUUUCUAGAGCUCGGAGGCUGCUGGUAGGGGGGCACCACUUUCAGAUAAAAACAUAGACCUGAAUGGCAUCAUCCAGUAUCCAAGGAAACCAUGCAGUUUUGAACAUCUGGAGGCCUGAUUUAUUGGAGAUUGCAAAUGUACAGUGUAACAUAGCUGUGGAGAGCGAGAAGAUCAGGAUUGUCAAUGCUGUCAUUGCUUUUACUGGAAUCCCCAGCACGAAUUGAAGGUUUGACCAGAGACAAAGAAGCAAAUGCUAUCAAUUAACAUUCACAUGUGGUAGGUCUCACUUUGCCACCUAGGCUGGAUGCAAUGCAACGGUAUGUUGAUCUUGGUUCACUGCAGCCUCAACCUCCUGAGCUCAUGUGAUCCUCCCACCUCAGUCCCCCACGUCGCUUGGAUUACAGGCCUGUGCCACCACACCUGGCUAACUUUUUUUGUAAUUUUUGUAGAGACAGGGUCUCACUAUGUUUCCCAUGCUGGUCUUUAAUGCCUGAGCUCAAGCCAUCCGCCUGCCUCGGCCUCCCAAAUUGCUGGGAUUACAGGCAUGAGCCACCAUGCCCAGCCUAAUUCUUCUAAAUCUUAUCCUAGUAAUUAAGCCAGAAUUUUUCUCUGCCAAGACCAAUAGAUGGACCAAGAAGUACUCAUCCUUGUAAACUUUCUUUGGAUAAAUUGCUUACAUAUAAUAAAUUCAGAGUUAAGUAAUAAAAAUAAUGAACUACUGUCUUG